ensembl:lncRNA
UUCCUCUGCGCCAUCUCCGAGACCCCUCCAAUCUCUUAAAGAAGUUGUGUGCUGCAGCCAGAUGCCACACUCCAAGCCGGCAACUGCCUCCGGAGUCCCACCAGAUAUCAUGACCCAGAAGGCUUCCUUCUUCAGUCGGACGGCUUCCCUGACCACUGGUGUCAACCACGGGGUUCGAGGGGUAGCGUCCCUUGAUGCAACAAGACCUUGUGGCCACAACUCACUGCCGCAGCUUCAGCAACGGAAGUUUUGAACAUACGCCAAUGCCAGUGUCCCCCUACCUCUACAGGAAUGCAAGAGAAGCUCCGUCGGAGGUGUGAGUUGAAAAUAUUCUGGACCUUCAAGACGUUCCAAGUUCACCCGCACUACGCACUUGGGUCUAUCUUAAGUCUAAGUCUUAAACCCCAUUCUCUGACCCACCUCACCACCAGAUGAUGAUCAGUUGACAGCUCUGCCCCUCUGUACCCGAGUGUCCAAAACAGGCAGCCUCAGAUCAGAUCAUACGAUUACACAAUCAAUCUGAAGGGGAUUGCAUUGACAAACUCCUUGACUCCUCAACAACAGGAAGGAAUCAAAGGUUUAUCUUAAGGUACCAACUCCAAAUUAAAUCCUUUACCUGAUAAGUCCAAUAAAUCAUCAACACCUGUAAAUGCAUAGUAACUUACAGUUAUGGCCAGUGUGUGUAAAUUAACUCUGCAAUCGUAUGGUUUCAGCCACUCAGAUACGUUAGAUUUUUAGUGGAUUCCUCACAUACCUUGAGUUAUUUUAGGUGCCGCAAAACGUGCCAUCAACGCCUUUUCAGACUCUUUAGGCAUUGUGAAGUUUUUAGCAGAAAACUCCAGUGUCAAUCCAAGCCUUGAAACUAACUCACUGUAUGUUUUAUGCUGUGGUGAACGGAACAUGGAACGUGAUCCAUCACAUGUUUCAUGUUCAUGUUCCACUUUCAAUCCUAAGGGUAUCAUGAGGUCUUAUCUCGAUAAUCACAGUGAAGUGUUGAUUUUCCCUGUCCCAGCAACCGACCUUCAGAGUCGAAAGGAACGAACGUACGUCGUCUUCUUUGGAAGUUAAUGCCGGUUGACAAACCAGCUUUCAGGCUUGUUACCUCCACCUAUUGGGCUGGAGUAGUUUUUAUUUGGAUGAUGACGUAGG